GACGAACGCUGGCGGCGUGCUUAACACAUGCAAGUCGAACGCGCCUGUCCUCUGGGUUUCUGGGGGGUGGGUGAGUGGCGAACGGGUGAGUAACACGUGAGUAACCUGCCCCCUUCUUCGGGAUAACGGUCUGAAAGGGCUGCUAAUACCGGGUAUUCACUGGUCUCCGCAUGGGGUCUGGUGGAAAGGUUUUUUUCUGGUGGGGGAUGGGCUCGCGGCCUAUCAGCUUGUUGGUGGGGUGAUGGCCCACCAAGGCUUUGACGGGUAGCCGGCCUGAGAGGGUGACCGGUCACAUUGGGACUGAGAUACGGCCCAGACUCCUACGGGAGGCAGCAGUGGGGAAUAUUGACCAAUGGGCGCAAGCCUGAUGCAGCGACGCCGCGUGAGGGAUGGAGGCCUUCGGGUUGUGAACCUCUUUCGCCCGUGGUCAAGCCGCGACGUGGGUCGUGGUGAGGGUAGUGGGUAAAGAAGCGCCGGCUAACUACGUG
rnacentral:rRNA from 1 species